GGGUAUGAGGGCGAUCUGGCUGCGACAUCUGUCACCCCACUGAUCGCCAGGGUUGAUUCUGCUGAUCUGGCUGACUAGCUGGGUGCCCCCUUCUUCCCUCAUCGCUCCAUGUGCGUCCCUCUCAAAGCUGCAUGCUUGGUGGAAGAGACCAGCCUUCCCUAAUAGAGACUGACCGGUGUUCGGUCUUUGAUCUUCAGUUGAGGGUAUACGAGUAGCCACGCUCCCCUGCUAGAACUUCCAAACAAGCUCUCAAGAGUGAAAUGUGCCACAGCUUUAGUGUUUCCUUAAAAUACACUGUGAAGUUCAUACCUGCCACAUACUUCCAUUUGAGUAAUUAUUAUACAGAGUGAUUUUCACAUU
ensembl:misc_RNA 7SK 7SK RNA